UACGAAGGGGGCUAGCGUUGCUCGGAAUCACUGGGGCGUAAAGGGUGCGUAGGCGGGUCUUAAGUCAGGGGUGAAAUCCUGGAGCUCAACUCCAGAACUGCCUUUGAUACUGAAGAUCUUGAGUUCGGGAGAGGUGAGUGGAACUGCGAGUGUAGAGGUGAAAUUCGUAGAUAUUCGCAAGAACACCAGUGGCGAAGGCGGCUUACUGGUCCGGUUCUGACGCUGAGGCGCGAAAGCGUGGGGAGCAAACAGGG
rnacentral:rRNA from 1 species